AGGGCACCACCAGGAGUGGAGCCUGCGGCUUAAUUUGACUCAACACGGGAAAACUCACCCGGCCCGGACACUGGAAGGAUUGACAGAUUGAGAGCUCUUUCUUGAUUCAGUGGGUGGUGGUGCAUGGCCGUUCUUAGUUGGUGGAGUGAUUUGUCUGGUUAAUUCCGAUAACGAACGAGACUCUAGCCUACUAAAUAGAUCGUCGGCUUACAAACGCCGGCGAGACUUCUUAGAGGGACAGGCGGUGAUUCAACCGCACGAAACAGGGCAAUAACAGGUCUGUGAUGCCCUUAGAUGUCCGGGGCCGCACGCGCGCUACACUGAAGUGAUCAGCGUGCUUUUUCAACCUACUCUGUCAAGAGUGGGGAACCCAAUGAACCUUCUUCGUGAUUGGGAUAGGGGAUUGUAAUUAUUCCCCUUGAACGAGGAAUUCCCAGUAAGCGCGAGUCAUAAGCUCGCGUUGAUUACGUCCCUGCCCUUUGUACACACCGCCCGUCGCUACUACCGAUUGAAUGUUUU
rnacentral:rRNA from 1 species